rnacentral:rRNA from 1 species
GACGAACCGUACGAACGUUAUUCGGAAUUACUGGGCUUAAAGGGUGCGUAGGCGGCGCGGAAAGUAGGGUGUGAAAUCCCUCGGCUCAACCGAGGAACUGCGCUCUAAACUACCGUGCUCGAGGGAGAUAGAGGUGAGCGGAACUGAGGGUGGAGCGGUGAAAUGCGCAGAUAUCAGGAGGAACACCAAUGGCGAAGGCAGCUCGCUGGAACGGUACUGACGCUGAGGCGCGAAAGCCAGGGGAGCAAACGGG